UUUGUAGAUUCUGUAUAGUUUUUCUAGCAUUUAACAUGUUCUUUGUUGUUUUUUGUGUUGCUCUGGCGGGUGUCAUUGGUAUUGCUGUUUACUGUUGUCUUCCAUGCAUCAUUGCAAUUUUAUAUGCAGUGGCAGACCAGAAAGAUGAUCUUAGAACUGUGGUGUCCUAUCUAUGAAGCAACCCAAAAUUUUCAUGCAUAGGUCUUUGGGGAUGAUCUAUGGGUACUGUCACAAGGUAGUUAAUCACACAAUCUUAUAACUUGAUAAUUUCUUGAUUGUUGAAUUAUAAUAUCUUGAUCUAUUAGCUAUAAUUUCAUGGUCAUUUGUGCAAAUUUAUUUCUACUUGUAAAAAUCUUCAUUUGUAUUUCUCUCUCUCUCUCUCUCAUAUACACAGACUAUCCUCUGUUCUUGACAUUAAGACUUAUCUAUUUCAAUUUUGAUCAUUCAUUCAGACAUUCAAAUGGGAAUAAGUCUGCUGCAUGGAUUUGUAAUUUGAUUCAGACACUUCUUACAUCUUUGGUUCCUUUUUUCUCAUCUUAAAAAUGACUACAAGGUUAAAGAAGCAUAACAUAUCAUCCCAUGCUUUAUAAUUUUUCAAAACUAUGCCGUCAUGUUUUUCUUUUUAGCUGAUCUGUUAAUGUCAGCAGGCUAAUGGUGCAAAUUGAAGAAGUUUGAAUGUCAAAUAAAAUAGGUUCGUAGAUUUUUUUCAAGAUAUUAGUCAUUGCAUUGAGAUUUUUUAUUCUGCUGCAUGGUAUUUUGUGACAGCUUUCGGGGAAUAAGGUGGAUGUGCCCCUCACUCAAUAGGUGUAUCCUUUUCUUUUUCAUUUCUACAUACUUCUCAGUGGUGCCAUCCACCACUACCAUUAAAAAAGAAAACAAAAGAAAAAAAAAA